CGGGUGAGUAACGCGUGAGCAAUCUACCUUAGUUACUGGGAUAGCCCGAGGAAACUCGGAUUAAUACCGGAUAUUCUUAUUUUUUCACAUGAAGUUUUAAGGAAAGGUCAACCGAACUAAGAUGAGCUCGCGUUCUAUCAGCUAGUUGGUGGGGUAAAAGCCUACCAAGGCUACGACGGAUAGCUGGUCUGAGAGGACGAUCAGCCACACUGGGACUGAGACACGGCCCAGACUCCUACGGGAGGCUGCAGCAGGGAAUAUUGUGCAAUGAGCGAAUGCUUGACACAGCGACACCGCGUGUGGGAUGACGGUUCUAGGAUUGUAAACCACUUUCAGGAGGGAAGAAAAUGACGGUACCUCCACAAGAAGACCCGGCCAACUAUGUGCCAGCAGCCGCGGUAAUACAUAGGGGUCAAGCGUUGUCCGGAUUUAUUGGGCGUAAAGAGCUCGUAGGCGGUUCAACAAGUCGGUCGUAAAAGUUUAGGGCUCAACCCUAAAAUGUCGAUCGAUACUGUUGUGACUAGGAUACGGUAGAGGUGAAUGGAAUUCCGAGUGUAGCGGUGAAAUGCGUAGAUAUUCGGAGGAACACCAAUUGCGAAGGCAGUUCACUGGACCGUGAUCGACGCUGAGGAGCGAAAGCUAGGGGAGCAAACAGGGUUAGAUACCCUGGUAGUCCUAGCUGUAAACGAUGGAUACUAGAUGUAGAACUGGAUUGACGGUUUCUGUAUCGUAGCUAACGCGUUAAGUAUCCCGCCUGGGGAGUACGGUCGCAAGACUAAAACUCAAAGGAAUUGACGGGACCCCGCACAAGCGGCG
rnacentral:rRNA from 1 species